rnacentral:sRNA from 1 species
GUGUAAUAUGGCGAAGACCUACGAUUACCUGUUCAAGCUGCUGCUGAUCGGGGACUCGGGGGUGGGGAAGACCUGUGUCCUGUUCCGCUUCUCCGAGGACGCCUUCAACUCCACUUUUAUCUCCACCAUAGAAGUGGAAACUGAGUCAUGGGGAAUUGGCCAUGGGAAAAAGACAGUGGAUCUCAGCUUAAUGAGCAUUUACUAUAUGCCAAGUGCUUCACGUGCAUUUUCACACUCUCCAGUUCUGGGUGUUAAGUGCUGUUAUGAGCCCGUCUCACAGAUGAGGAAUUUGAGGCUCAGGGAGGGCAUGGAACUUGCCCAAGGCCACACAGUCUGCAGGUGGUGAGAAUGGGAUUUGAUGGAAUUUGAACCUGGCUGUGUCUCAACCCAAAACUUCAGGCUUAGCUCUCCUAGAGAGAUGCCACUGCACACUCCCAGCUGAUGACAAGCUCAGCUAAUGCACCUUGGAGCCGGGACUCUAACCCACACCAUUCCUGCUCUUUUCUCUGGAGCGUUCA